rnacentral:lncRNA from 1 species
UUCAACAUGAUGCUCCAAAUACUCGAGGAUGGAAGAUUAACCGACAGCAAGGGCAGAACCGUGGAUUUCAAGAAUACACUUCUGAUAAUGACAUCUAAUGUUGGAAGCAGUGUGAUCGAGAAAGGAGGCCGACGCAUUGGAUUUGACCUUGAUUAUGAUGAGAAGGAUAGCAGUUACAAUAGAAUUAAGAGCUUGGUGACGGAGGAACUAAAACAGUACUUCAGACCAGAGUUCUUGAAUAGGUUGGACGAAAUGAUUGUUUUCCGACAACUCACCAAGCUGGAGGUGAAGGACAUAGCAGAUAUAAUGCUCAAGGAGGUUUUCGAGAGGUUGAAGAAGAAAGAGAUAGAGCUUCAAGUGACAGAGAGGUUCAG